rnacentral:rRNA from 1 species
AUUGAACGCUGGCGGCAGGCCUAACACAUGCAAGUCGAGCGGUAGCACAGAGAGCUUGCUCUCGGGUGACGAGCGGCGGACGGGUGAGUAAUGUCUGGGAAACUGCCUGAUGGAGGGGGAUAACUACUGGAAACGGUAGCUAAUACCGCAUAACGUCGCAAGACCAAAGUGGGGGACCUUCGGGCCUCAUGCCAUCAGAUGUGCCCAGAUGGGAUUAGCUAGUAGGUGGGGUAAUGGCUCACCUAGGCGACGAUCCCUAGCUGGUCUGAGAGGAUGACCAGCCACACUGGAACUGAGACACGGUCCAGACUCCUACGGGAGGCAGCAGUGGGGAAUAUUGCACAAUGGGCGCAAGCCUGAUGCAGCCAUGCCGCGUGUGUGAAGAAGGCCUUCGGGUUGUAAAGCACUUUCAGCGGGGAGGAAGGCGUUAAGGUUAAUAACCUUGGCGAUUGACGUUACCCGCAGAAGAAGCACCGGCUAACUCCGUGCCAGCAGCCGCGGUAAUACGGAGGGUGCAAGCGUUAAUCGGAAUUACUGGGCGUAAAGCGCACGCAGGCGGUCUGUCAAGUCGGAUGUGAAAUCCCCGGGCUCAACCUGGGAACUGCAUUCGAAACUGGCAGGCUAGAGUCUUGUAGAGGGGGGUAGAAUUCCAGGUGUAGCGGUGAAAUGCGUAGAGAUCUGGAGGAAUACCGGUGGCGAAGGCGGCCCCCUGGACAAAGACUGACGCUCAGGUGCGAAAGCGUGGGGGGCAAACAGGAUUAGAUACCCUGGUAGUCCACGCCGUAAACGAUGUCGAUUUGGAGGUUGUGCCCUUGAGGCGUGGCUUCCGGAGCUAACGCGUUAAAUCGACCGCCUGGGGAGUACGGCCGCAAGGUUAAAACUCAAAUGAAUUGACGGGGGCCCGCACAAGCGGUGGAGCAUGUGGUUUAAUUCGAUGCAACGCGAAGAACCUUACCUGGUCUUGACAUCCACAGAACUUUCCAGAGAUGGAUUGGUGCCUUCGGGAACUGUGAGACAGGUGCUGCAUGGCUGUCGUCAGCUCGUGUUGUGAAAUGUUGGGUUAAGUCCCGCAACGAGCGCAACCCUUAUCCUUUGUUGCCAGCGGUUAGGCCGGGAACUCAAAGGAGACUGCCAGUGAUAAACUGGAGGAAGGUGGGGAUGACGUCAAGUCAUCAUGGCCCUUACGACCAGGGCUACACACGUGCUACAAUGGCAUAUACAAAGAGAAGCGACCUCGCGAGAGCAAGCGGACCUCAUAAAGUAUGUCGUAGUCCGGAUUGGAGUCUGCAACUCGACUCCAUGAAGUCGGAAUCGCUAGUAAUCGUAGAUCAGAAUGCUACGGUGAAUACGUUCCCGGGCCU